CCACCUUAAAUAUUUCAACGUGGAGCCGCCAUUCAAAUUUAGAGUUCAUCUUCUCCUGCAAAUUCCUAUUACGAUCAACCAAAAAUAGAUGUUCUGAAAGGUUAUAAGAGACGUGUAUUCAUGAGUAAUCUUUGCAUCCUUUCCGGUUUUAUGUCGUUUCGUUUGCGGUUCUUCUCCCCUCCUCGAAGGCGUUACAAGUUGCAUUGAUUCGACGCUAUUCAAUGAUUCUUAUCUUUCUUACAUGCGGUGGAUCUCAACUAUAAAAAUAGGCUGGAGGUGUUGCGAACCCAGAUGAUAUUCAGCUCCCCUGUUUAUUACCGACAUUGUUAGCAAAACAUACACAUUCCAUCUCAGCCUGACCAGUUUCAGUUAUACUGCGAAGCAAUCAAACUUUCACAAUCUCACGCAUCUUCGACGAGCGUCAGCGUCUUCGACUCUCUGACUUUGUUGUCGAUGUAAUUUUGUAACUACAUUGGAUACGGCUCUUCUGUAUGUUAAAGUAACAUUGUGCGUCUUGGUUUUAUCAGAGCGGCAACGGUGGUCCAGGAGAUGAUUUGAACGGUGGAAGCUUUGAGUUUAGUCUAAAAAUGUAUGUCUUUAUUACAUUUUGGAGCAUUGCCAUUUAUUCCAUUGCAGGCAAUGUUGAUGCUAUUUAGAAAAAUACAUGUUUUA